rnacentral:rRNA from 1 species
GUGAGUAACACGUAUCCAACCUGCCUCAUACUCGGGGAUAGCCUUUCGAAAGAAAGAUUAAUAUCCGAUAGCAUAUAUUUCCCGCAUGGGUUUUAUAUUAAAGAAAUUCGGUAUGAGAUGGGGAUGCGUUCCAUUAGCUUGUUGGCGGGGUAACGGCCCACCAAGACUACGAUGGAUAGGGGUUCUGAGAGGAAGGUCCCCCACAUUGGAACUGAGACACGGUCCAA